rnacentral:rRNA from 1 species
UACGAAGGGGGCUAGCGUUGUUCGGAAUUACUGGGCGUAAAGCGCGUGUAGGCGGGUCUUUUAAGUCAGGGGUGAAAUGCCAGGGCCUCAACCUUGGAACUGCCUUUGAUACUGGAAAGCUUGAGUUCGGGAGAGGUGAGUGGAACUGCGAGUGUAGAGGUGAAAUUCGUAGAUAUUCGCAAGAACACCAGUGGCGAAGGCGGCUCACUGGCCCGAUACUGACGCUGAGGAGCGAAAGCGUGGGGAGCGAACAGG